AUGGUGCUUCUCCGCUACGGCGCCACCUACCUCAUCGAGCACCCUCCUCCACCCAACGCCACCUCCCAAUAUCUCGAGCUGGAUGCACACGUUGUGCUGUGGAUCUAUGCCACCCUCUCCGACACCAUGUGCGACCACGUCGUUGGUGCCACGACCACCUUCGCUCUCUGGCACAAAAUCAAGGACUAUUUCCUCGCCAACCGCACCGCCCGCUACAUGAUCCUCAACCGCCAAUACCGCAACCUCAAGCAGGGCGAUCUAUCGGUCUCGGAAUAUGCGCGCCGCAUGAAGCAGCUCACCGACGGCCUCGCCGACAUUGACCACGCGGUCACCGAGGUGGAUCUCACCACGCAGUUCCUCCAUGGCCUCGACAAGCGCCUCGAAACCAUUCGGGUCGUUCUCGGCAAUCAGACCCUCCCCUUCAACACCGUCCUCUCCAGGGUGGUCUUGGCCGAGGAGUCUCGGGCGCAGCGCGCGGCCGAGGAGAGCGCCUCCGCCUUCGCUCUCCCCGGCUCUGGCACCUCCGGCAGUAACCCCGGCGCGCCCUCUGGUCGUGGUCGUGGUGACCGCGGCAGUGAUGGUGGUGAC
rnacentral:rRNA from 1 species